CAUCAUUGUCGCACUCUGUCCCUCCACGCUCUCCGUCCUCCUCUCCCUUCUCCUUCAUCCUCCUCGUCUCGCCAUUGUUUACCCUAACAAUAAAUAUCUUCACUCAUUACUUCUUAAAGAUGAUCGUUCAUGAAGUUGGAUUCAAAUGUAGUAAAAAUGGAAGGACAAAAUGGCUGCAAUAACUCUGUACGAAUGCUCUCUCUCAACUUUGGUGCGAAUGUCAACAUUGUUUCCCAAGCACGUAGAGAUUUUACAAACCAUCACCAUGUUUUGCCUGCUGAUAGGAAUGUAAACCAAACCAACAUCCCCCACUUAACUGAGUGGACUCAAGCUGCUAAAACGUCUCCGGCCUUUGUUGAGUUUAUUGCUGACACUUCAAACUUUUCUCGAGAGACAUCAACCAAAGAUGUGAUAGCAGUUGUUCCCAGUACUGUUCAAACUAUAAAUGGAGUCUCAGAGCUUCGUAGCAAAAUUUCAUACAAUCAUCUCGCAGGUUCAUACAAUUCAAAACCUACUGAUUCACGGAAUAAUGCACGGGGCACUCUAUCCAAAUCACGUCCCAGUUCAUCAAGCAAGAGAGGUUAUUCAGCUGAUCGUCAACGCAAGAUGAGGAUAGCUGAAAGACUUGAAGCAUUGCUGGAACUGCUACCUCCUUCUAAGGAAAAUCAAGCAUCUGCUCUGGAUGAUGCCAUUGACCAUAUCAAGUACUUACAGCUUCGAAUAAAGGUAAUGGCUGACAAGAAAACAUUAGUCACAUCGGGGAUGAUUUCUAUGAUGCCAAAAGUAACUAAAAACAAGUUAAAUGGAUCAAAUUAGGAGCAUUGAGAUGGAUGAACACAUCAAGGAAGAGCCACCAACUGUUGCUGCUAAAAAGAUUUGUUUGCGGGACGAUUCAAGAAUGCUUCUACGAAUAAAAAAUACAAUUGACCUUGAAAUCAUGGAACUAGUAAAUAAUUGCAAAUCAGUAAUGUUUGAUGUUUGUAAGACUAUCAACUUGAUCAUGGAGAAAAGUCUCUCUCGGGUUACUUUAUGGAGGUCAAAAGUACGUGUGCAGAAUUCAAUGCAUUGAUGCCAAUUAGCACUGAUCCAAAAGUUCUCAUGGCUCAACGUGAACAAUUGUUCAUCAUGAGUUUCUUAGUUGGUCUUGCACCUAAAUAUGAGAUGGCCAAAGAUCAUGAAGUCUAGCUCAAAAAUCUCAUGUUGGGAUAAGCUUAUACUCGAAUACUUUGUACAGAGAAGCCACGAGCAGUUAUAUGAUCUGAUUCUAGCAGUGGUUUGAUUGGGAGCACAAAUGACUAUAGAGGUAAUAACGGGGUUGAAUCAAAUAGCUCUAAAGGUUAUCCCAAUAACCAACAAACGAAUUCUGGAGCUGUUGUUUGCUAUUGGUCAACCUUGCCAUACCAAACGCAAGUGUAAAAGAUUGUUGAACAGGGGUCAAAGGGUGCCAUAUGCAAAUGUUGCUUCUACUCCUGAUAGUCCUGACAGGUCAAUUACCAAUUUCUUUAUAGGAGUUUGCUAAGUUUCAAAAGUAUCAAGAGUCAUUGACAACAUCGUCUUCUACUCCCGUUACUAUUAUCGCAAAGACAGGACUUAAGUCAGAGCAAACUAGGAGGAGAAUUAUCUUCUGAGCCUUUCAUAUUCGUUGAGGGAUAUGGUCAUUACAUGAACCAUCAAGAGAUGCAGAUCAGUGAGCCACUUGAGGAGAUGGUGGGAA